UGGGACAAAUUUGCUCCAAGGAAAGAGAGAGAAUCCUUGAGGGAGGUCAUCUCAAAGGUUAACCUCAAAGAAAGGAAUAUCUGAAUCAUCCCCAACUUGACUAUAUAUUUGUAUGUAAAUAUUUGCACAUUUCCCAACUUGACUAUUAUCCCCUCCAGUCCCCAAACUCCAAUAUUUUCUCUCAUUCUAAGAAAUUUGACACUAUCAUCCAACCCCCAUGUAAAUGCAUCUUUAAACUGCAUUGACUCCUUGUCCAAGUCCUGAAUCCACUAUAAGUCCAUAUGAACCACAUUCAAAGCACUAAAUUACCUUUCCUCGAAGCUCCUAUCUGAUCUACCAGCUCAAUAGUGGUCUACUGAAACCAUACUCACCAUCUCAGGGGGUGCUCAGAUCAUCAACCACUGACCUCCACACCAUCCUCAAAAACAGCAGUCCUCUUUUGGAGACAGAUUGGUCAGUGCUCCUGUAUGGCACCAACAUUGUGGAUUUUCAUCCAAUACUUCUGGACUAUGGGAACAUUCUUUGGACAAUAAAAUGAGGUAAAAUGGAAGCUGGCUACAGUCUCAGUUUUAUCCUGCAAGACAGUGUGAGGAUGUAUAACAACAAUACCUGUGGUUUAACUUGAUGAUCAGGGCCAGAUUACCGAAUGGGCACGCAGGGCAUCUGCCCUGUGGGCUCCGACCUCCGGGGAAUAUCAUCAUAACAUCCAAAACUAAAAAAAUUGUCGAUGUAUAUUACAGAGGGGUGCGUCACUUGAGUAGGUUGAGUCACUGACGUGAUCUUCCUGUCUGGGUUGGCGCGCCCUUUUGGGUUGUGCUGUGGCGGAGAUCUUUGUGGGCUAUACUCGGCCUUGUCUCAGGAUGGUAAGUUGGUGGUUGAAGAUAUCCCUCUAGUGGUGUGGGGUUAUAUCCUUCCUGUUUGGCCCUGUCCGGGGGUAUCAUCAGAUGGGGCCACAGUGUCCCCUGACCCCUCCUGUCUCAGCCUCCAGUAUUUAUGCUGCAGUAGUUUAUGUGUCGGGGGGCUAGGGUCAGUUUGUUAUAUCUGGAGUACUUCUCCUGUCUUAUCCGGUGUCCUGUGUGAAUUUGAGUAUGCUCUCUCUAAUUCUCUCUUUCUCUCUCUCUCUCUCUCUCUCUCUCUCGGAGGACCUGAGCCCUAGGACCAUGCCUCAACUCUCUAGAGACAGCAGGAGUGGUAGAGAUACUCUUAAUGAUCGGCUAUGAAAAGCCAACUGACAUUUACUCCUGAGGUGCUGACUUGCUUCACCCCCGACAACUAAUUGUGUUUAUUAUUAUUUGACCAUGCUGGUCAUUUAUGAACAUUUGAACAUCUUGGCCAUGUUCUGUUAUAAUCUCCACCCGGCACAGCCAGAAGAGGACUGGCCACCCCUCAUAGCCUGGUUCCUCUCUAGGUUUCUUCCUAGGUUUUGGCCUUUCUAGGGAGUUUUUCCCUAGCCACCGUGCUUCUACACCUGCAUUGCUUGCUGUUUGGGGUUUUAGGCUGGGUUUCUGUACAGCACUUUGAGAUAUCAGCUGAUGUACGAAGGGCUAUAAAAAUACAUUUGAUUUGAUUUGACAGACCCCACACUCAUCGCUAGAGAUCGAACUUCAGACUCCCUCUAAAACCACUGAACCCCUCAACACACCGAAAGACAUUACGAUAUAUCCCCUUAGAGGGAGCCGGAACAGGAUAACUCCCUCCACCAUCACAAAGACACAGAGGAGGAGGAACUAUCCAACACCCAAGGAGAGAGAACGAGUGACCUCAGUCGAACACAGCCAGAAAGAGGAGGUGGAAAAGGCGCAGCAGCACACUGCCCUCCAAAGCCUGCAAAAUAAUCGCUGGACUGCCCCUUUCCUCGCUCUGCAUGGAACAUCCAGUGUCACGUCCUUGGUGACGUGUGGGGUGACAUCCGGGAUGACCACAGCAACAUCCUCUGGAAAGGGAAAAAAGAGGAUCAGGAUGUAAACAAAUGCAAACCGUAGCUUCUUAACACUGGCCAGUUGAAAGGUUCUGCUAAGAUGUCAUGACAAACGGCACCUGUCAGAGUGCUCUCUAAGUGUUACUCACCUGCUUGGAUGUCAGCUGGCAGAGUGUCGAAGACGGCCAUCGUGAGAGUCCUUUCUUCAGGUGUGACAUGCUCAAUUGAUCCUAUUUAUUUGUACUGAAAUUUGAUAUUUUCUUUUCACUGCUGCUACUCGUGUUUUACAGACACACGUUUGAGUGGGUUUUCUACAGUCUGGCACAUGUUGACACAUUAUGGAGAAUGCAUAUGCUGCAAACCAGCACGACUAUUAGGCAUCAACUCUAGACGAGUUUCACUCACUACUGCAGUUUGGAGUUAGUUAUGGGGCAUACUUGAACUCUUUAAGGGAACAUGAACCGUUCUACUCCUGCAAAUUGUGACUAAUAACCCUAAUCAAAUUCUACGAGAUGGGUUUUUGAAUGUAGUACUGUAUUUUCAUUGAAAUGGCAGAUUUGUAUGAUGUCACACAAAAAUGUAUGUAAUGCUUCCCACAAAGAAAUUAUUUUACUAUUUUGUUUCAAAUGGUCCCUCUGGCAUGCAUAUUUCUGUAUGAUUUAACACAUGUUUGAAUCCCACUUCCUUGAUAUUUUGAAGUUCAUUUCCUUGAUAUUUUGAAGUUCAUUUUAGUCCUCCUUGCAUGUUUUGUUCCAUACCUGUGCCUUGGAGAAAACAACUAUAGCCCUGCAAGUCUAAUACGCUAUACACAACAGCAGCCUACAGUGUUAACUUAUUGAGAAUGUAUAUCAUUGCAUUUAACAUUCAAACCUCCUUUAAACUCUUCAGAUCUUAACCGGAUCAAACUGGAAUGUUAAUAUAUUACCCUAAGUCAAACUGGUUUUGGUGUCUUAGACACAAAAGGUUGUUUUCUCCUCAUAGUAAAAACACUGUUUCAUGGUUUGGAUUAAAAACACUGGGUAUUUGUUACGUAGAACUUUGUGUUUCUUGGGGGGGAAAGCAAUACUUAGCUCUACUGCUGUCUGUGUAGAGGCCUAGUUAGAAUUGUAUUGCAAUGACAGGUGAAGUGCUUGUUGAAAUCAUGCUGCCUUGCUGCUCAUUCCUUAAAGUACUUAUACCAACGAAUACCUGUUUGUCUGGAGCCAUAGCUGUUCUUAACCUGUUCAACUCUGACGCCCUCUGGUGGCAUUUUAUAAACGAUGCAUAAUAUUGUAUACUGCCCUCAUAAAGUACAUUUCAGUCCUUACAGAAACAUGCUUAGGGAAAGGGAAAGGGGAAUACCUAGUCAGUUGUACAACUGAAUGUAUUCAACUAAAAUGUGUCUUACG